GGCGGACUCGGCCUCGCCUGUCGGGGCUCGGCUGCUGCACUGCCAGAUGACUGAGGAGGAGAGCUGAUCUGGGAGGCUGUCUUUGCUGGGGCAACCUGAGCCAGGGCUGGGGCCCUGGGCAGAGCCCUGAGAGCCUGGUCUGCCCCCAGGGAAGGAGAAGGAGCCCCUGGAGAAGCUGUACCAGGUGGGGAUGCUGCUGCUGCUGCUGCUGCUGCUGCUGCUGGAGAGAGUGAGGAUGACACCAAGGAUUAGAAGCUCUUCCUCAGCCUGGCCACUGGAGGCUGAAGAGGAAAUGUUCCAGGUGGUCCAGUGUGAAUGGGGAAGUGCUGGGGAACAGCUGUGGCGUGGAUGGGCCGUGCCCUUGGAGAAGGCUGAGGCCAUGGUUUGGGAGC